rnacentral:rRNA from 1 species
CGUACACUCCUACGGGAGGCAGCAGUGGGGAAUAUUGCACAAUGGGCGCAAGCCUGAUGCAGCCAUGCCGCGUGUAUGAAGAAGGCCUUCGGGUUGUAAAGUACUUUCAGCGGGGAGGAAGGCGAUAAGGUUAAUAACCUUGUCGAUUGACGUUACCCGCAGAAGAAGCACCGGCUAACUCCGUGCCAGCAGCCGCGGUAAUACGGAGGGUGCAAGCGUUAAUCGGAAUUACUGGGCGUAAAGCGCACGCAGGCGGUCUGUCAAGUCGGAUGUGAAAUCCCCGGGCUCAACCUGGGAACUGCAUUCGAAACUGGCAGGCUAGAGUCUUGUAGAGGGGGGUAGAAUUCCAGGUGUAGCGGUGAAAUGCGUAGAGAUCUGGAGGAAUACCGGUGGCGAAGGCGGCCCCCUGGACAAAGACUGACGCUCAGGUGCGAAAGCGUGGGGAGCAAACAGGAUUAGAAACCCCUGUAGUCCCAUGA